rnacentral:rRNA from 1 species
GAUGAACGCUGGCGGCGUGCCUAACACAUGCAAGUCGAGCGAGGGUUUGCUCAGUAUUGAGUAUUCUAAAACUAGAAUGUUCAAUUCUGAGCAAAACCAAGCGGCGGACGGGUGAGUAACGCGUGGGUAACCUGCCCUAUACACAUGGAUAACAUACUGAAAAGUUUACUAAUACAUGAUGAUAUAUAUUUGUGGCAUCGCAGAUAUAUCAAAGUGUUAGCGGUAUAGGAUGGACCCGCGUCUGAUUAGCUAGUUGGUGAGAUAACUGCCCACCAAGGCGACGAUCAGUAGCCGACCUGAGAGGGUGAUCGGCCACAUUGGAACUGAGACACGGUCCAAACUCCUACGGGAGGCAGCAGUGGGGAAUAUUGCACAAUGGGCGAAAGCCUGAUGCAGCAACGCCGCGUGAACGAUGAAGGUCUUCGGAUCGUAAAGUUCUGUUGCAGGGGAAGAUAAUGACGGUACCCUGUGAGGAAGCCCCGGCUAACUACGUGCCAGCAGCCGCGGUAAUACGUAGGGGGCUAGCGUUAUCCGGAUUUACUGGGCGUAAAGGGUGCGUAGGUGGUCCUUCAAGUCGGUGGUUAAAGGCUACGGCUCAACCGUAGUAAGCCGCCGAAACUGGAGAACUUGAGUGCAGGAGAGGAAAGUGGAAUUCCCAGUGUAGCGGUGAAAUGCGUAGAUAUUGGGAGGAACACCAGUAGCGAAGGCGGCUUUCUGGACUGCAACUGACACUGAGGCACGAAAGCGUGGGUAGCAAACAGG